UACAAAGGGGGCUAGCGUUGCUCGGAAUGACUGGGCGUAAAGGGCGCGUAGGCGGAUGGCACAGUCAGGUGUGAAAUUCCCGGGCUUAACCUGGGGGCUGCAUUUGAUACGUGUUGUCUUGAGUUCGGAAGAGGGUCGUGGAAUUCCCAGUGUAGAGGUGAAAUUCGUAGAUAUUGGGAAGAACACCGGUGGCGAAGGCGGCGACCUGGUCCGACACUGACGCUGAGGCGCGAAAGCGUGGGGAGCAAACAGG
rnacentral:rRNA from 1 species